rnacentral:rRNA from 1 species
AGUGAACGCUGGCGGCAGGCCUAACACAUGCAAGUCGAGCGGUAGCACAAGGGAGCUUGCUCCCUGGGUGACGAGCGGCGGACGGGUGAGUAAUGUCUGGGAAACUGCCUGAUGGAGGGGGAUAACUACUGGAAACGGUAGCUAAUACCGCAUAACGUCGCAAGACCAAAGAGGGGGACCUUCGGGCCUCUUGCCAUCAGAUGUGCCCAGAUGGGAUUAGCUAGUAGGUGGGGUAAUGGCUCACCUAGGCGACGAUCCCUAGCUGGUCUGAGAGGAUGACCAGCCACACUGGAACUGAGACACGGUCCAGACUCCUACGGGAGGCAGCAAUGGGGAAUAUUGCACAAUGGGCGCAAGCCUGAUGCAGCCAUGCCGCGUGUGUGAAGAAGGCCUUCGGGUUGUAAAGCACUUUCAGCGAGGAGGAAGGUGGUGAACUUAAUACGUUCAUCAAUUGACGUUACUCGCAGAAGAAGCACCGGCUAACUCCGUGCCAGCAGCCGCGGUAAUACGAAGGGUGCAAGCGUUAAUCGGAAUUACUGGGCGUAAAGCGCGCGUAGGUGGUUCAGCAAGUUGGAUGUGAAAUCCCCGGGCUCAACCUGGGAACUGCAUCCUAAACUACUGAGCUAGAGUACGGUAGAGGGUGGUGGGAAUUUCCUGUGUAGCGGUGAAAAGGCGAGAAUUUGGGAGGGAACACCAGCGGAGAAGGCGACUACUUGGAUGUCUAGUUACUCUUAGGUCUAAACACGGGGGAGAAAAUCAG